rnacentral:rRNA from 1 species
CCUACGGGGGGCUGCAGUAGGGAAUCUUCCACAAUGGGCGAAAGCCUGAUGGAGCAACGCCGCGUGGGUGAAGAAGGUCUUCGGAUCGUAAAACCCCGUUGUUAGAGAAGAAAGUGCGUGAGAGUGACUGUUCACGUUUCGACGGUAUCUAACCAGAAAGCCACGGCAAACUCCGUGCCAGCAGCCGCGGUAAGACGGGGGAUGCGAGUGUUAUCCGGAUUUAUUGGGUUAAAAGGGGGAGUAGGCGGAAUAUCAAGUCAGCGGUAAAAAUUCGGGGCUCAACCCCGGCGUGCCGUUGAAACUGAUGUUCUUGAGUGGGCAAGAAGUAUGCGGAAUGCGUGGUGUAGCGGUGAAAUGCAUAGAUAUCACGCAGAACUCCGAUUGCGAAGGCAGCAUACCGGCGCCCAACUGACGCUGAAGCACGAAAGCGUGGGUAUCGAACAGGAUUAGAUACCCCUGUAGUC